rnacentral:snRNA from 1 species
AAUGAUACCUGGCAGGGGAGAUACCAUGAUCACAAAAGUAGUUUACACAGGGUGCAGCUAAUCCGUACACUCCAGGUUAGAUGACCCCUGUGAUGUCCCCAAAUGUGGGAAACACGACUGCAUAAUUUGUGAUAGUGGGGGACUGCAAAUAUUUCCUCU